rnacentral:lncRNA from 1 species
UGUAAGAAAAGAAGAAUGGAAAGUGAGGGUAAUUAAUGAGAGAUGAUUGAAGAAAUGGAAGAAGAAUUAGAUAGUGGUGUGAUGAUGUAACAGAUAGAUAAGAAUUAUUAUUAUUAUUAUUAUGAUGAGUAUUGUGUUGGUUGGUACAUGAGGGUAUUAAGUAUGUGAUGUUGUUAUCAUGGGAGAAGAGAAAGAAGUUGAAGGGGAAGCAGAAGUAGAAGUUGGAUACUACAAUGACCUUUGUCUCACC